rnacentral:lncRNA from 1 species
AUUCACUGCCUGCCCUUCUUCCCAGCGCUUCCAAGAUCUGGUUGUAUUAAACACGAGAAUGAAGAGAGGAAAACACCUUCGCCCACGGUGUGCUCUGGGGACAUCUCCAGGUGUGGGUGGUGGCGUCAGCCACAGGACAGACAGAGUCUGCAACAUGUGCCUCCCGAGUUCAUGCCAUUCUCCUGCCUCAGUCUCCGGAGUAGCUGGGAUUACAGGUGCCCGCCACCACGCCUGGCUGAUUUUUGUAUUUUUAGUAGAGACAGGGUUUCACCAUGUUGGCCAGGCUGGUCUCAAACUGCUGACCUCAUGAUCUGCCUGCCUUGGCCUCCCAAAGUGCUGGGAAUACAGAUGUGAGCCACUGCGCCCGGCCAAUUGUAGAACAUUUUCAUUACCCUCAAAAGAAACCUCAUACCAAUUAACUGUCAUUUUCCAUUUUCCCAUUGCCUAUUCCUAGGCAAUUGCUAAUCUGUUCUUGCCUCUAUAGAUUUGCCUCUUCUGGACAUUUCAUAUAAAUUGAAUUAUUCAUUAUGUGAUCAUCUUUUGUGACUGAUUUCUUUCACUUUGCAUAAUGUUGUCAAGGUCUAUCCAUUCUAGCAUGCAUCAAUACUUCAUUUCUUUUUAUUGCUGAAUUAUACUCCAUUGUAUACCAUAUUUUGUUUAUCCAUUCAUCAGUUGGUGGACAUUUGGGUUGUUUCUACUUUUUCGUUAUAAUGAAUAAUAUUGCUAAUAAACAUUCAGGUAAAAAUUUUUGUGUGAACAUAUGUUUUCAAUUCUUUUGGCCAUGGACCUAGGAGUGGAAUUGAUAGAUCCAAUAGUAACUCUAUGUUUAAUCUUUUGAGGAACUGCCGAACUAUUUUCCAAAGCAGCUGCACCAUUUUACAUUUCCACCAGCAAUAUGAGGGUUGCAAUUUCUCCAUAUUUUUUGCCAACACUUGGGUUUUUAAACAUUUUUUAUUACAGUGUAGGGGCAGAAAGGUGUGAUACUUUUCCUCACCCAUCAUAAGGCACAUGGCCAACACUCUGAUAACAAAAGACAGGUUAACAAGAGAAAAGCAUAACAAAUUUAUUUAAUCAAAGUUUUAUGUGACACAGGAGCCUUCAGAAAUGAAGGCCCAACAACUUAGGGAAAACCGUUUAUUUUUUGCUUAGGUUUGAUUAAGAAGGGACUGCCUUAUAGAAAUGUGAUUGGACAAAGAGGUACAAGUGAAUAGGAAUAGACUGAGGGGGAAAACCCAGCAAGGCCUGUCCAGAUUCAUCUUGGCCUCUCUGUGGAGCAUCACUCUACCCUUCCCAGGUGCGGGACAAGACUCCCCUGAAAUAAGGGCCUUCACGGGAGAAGGGAGAGAGUGACCUUUCUAGGUUUUAUGGCUUGCUUUUGGAGAGAGGGUCUCUGGUUUCUAUGACUCACCUUAGAAGAAUUCUUAUUUCUAUGAGGAGAAAGAAGGGUGGGAGACAGGAGGACGGGAGAAGGUCAGAGAGAUCUUGCUUCUGAGAUCCUUCCAAGCUCUUUUAGUUCAAAGUACUUGCCAUGCUGUUGAGACUCAGAAAACAAUACCCCAAGAAGAAGACCUUAGCAGUGAAGGGGCAUUGUUGUCUGGGGUAAAUACCUAGGGUCUGUCGUCUGGCGUCAAGAAGAUAAAGGACACAGACACACACGAAGAGUGAGUUUAGGAGCAGAGGUUUAACAGGCAAAAGAAAGAGAAGGGAGAGCAGCUCUUUCUCUUGUGAGGAAGAGGGGACAUCCGAAAGGGAAAAGUCGGCCCAUGGGGGACUAAGCCAGAUUUUAUAGGCAGGCUUGAGGAGGUGGUGUCUGAUUUACGUAGGGCCCACAGAUUGGUUGGACCAGGUGUGACGUUUGCAUAGCUUGAGGGGAAGGCUGGUCACCCCACCCUUAUUUUAUUAUGCAAAUGAAGUCUUUCCCUGGCUGGUGCCAUAUUGUCUUUUCCUUACUGUACACAUGGUUUGGCAAAGAGAAGCCGCCAUUUUGAACAUGGCUAGUCCCAGGUAGCCUUUUCCUAUUAGCACGACUGCUAGCAUUCACCUGUACAAGCUUCCAGCUUGUCUAUGUCUGCAGCUCGAUUUUACAGGUUGCUCUUCGUUAGAAAAGAGAAUGAUUUGGGGGCUGCUUUUCAUUAAAAGGAAAACCUUACUGUGGUCUCCUGUACCCUCACUAUCUACCUAAGUAAUUUCUUCUUAACUCCUGUAUCAGCAGCAGCCUCAGAAACAAAAAGUUUCCUCUGACCUUCUCAUGCUCUCCUGUCUCUCAGUCCCAUUCUCCCCAGAGGCCAGCCAUAGAAACUAGAAUCUCUCUUCCCCAAGGCAGGUCAUCGAAACCAGAACCCUUUUUCCCCAGAGCUAGUCAUAAAACCUAAAAAUAUUACUCUAAUUUACUCCAAUUAUCACCAAAAUAAUUAGAUAAUAUGUAAAUUAUCUAAAUAUUACUCUAAUUUCCUCCACCUUUCCAUGUAAAAACUGGACAUAAAGAAAUUAUCUGGGCCAGGUGUGGUGGCUAACACCUAUAAUCCAAGCAGUUUAGGAGGCUGAGGUAGGAGGAUUCCUUGAGGCCAGGAGUUCAAGACCAGCCUGGGCAACAUAACAAGACCCCAUCUCUAUUUUAAAAAUUAAAAUAAAAUAAGAAAUUACCCUGACCUACCUUGUUUGACUGUAGGUCAUAAGAGUCCCUUUCCAGACAGGACUCUGUCUCAUACUCAGAAGGAAGGAAUAAGUGGUCAGAGGCCAAGAAAAAUCUAGACAGAGAGGCCUUGAUGGGUUUUCCCACUUAUUUAGAUCAUACCUUCUUGUCCAAUCAUAUUUCUAUACAGCUGUCCAUACUUUUUUAAAUCUAAGCAUAAAAAUUAUAAUUGUCCUUGUAUCUUUGGGUCUUCAUGCUAACAGCUCCCAUGUAGACAUGUUAAAUAAAUGUGCAUGCCUUUUCUCCUAUUAAUCUGCCUCAUAUCAGUGAUUUUUUGGUGAAUCUUCAGAGGGCCAAGGGAAACCUUCAAAGGGCCAAUGGGUUCCCCUUGGCCCCUACAAUGCUAAAGCACCAUAAUUGGAGAUAUUGUGUUCUGAGCCCCAAUAAUAGCUAUUCUAGUGGGCACGAAAUGAGAUCUCAUUGUGGUUUUUCUGGGUUUUGUUAUUUAAGGUAAAAUGUCACAUGAAGUCUUAUACUAUCUAUCCUCCACCAUAACCACCACACAGAUUGUCUCUCAUGGUAGCCUUUAAUCUCCCUCUGGGAAACACACCUUUCUUCUUUUUGGCUUUGCUUUUCUUGCUUCUGUUUUUCACUGCAAGUCAUCAAUUUCUGAUGAAAUACACUCAUCCCAAACUGAGGCUUGAAAAAACUGGUGUAAUAUAGUUACUUUUCAUACUGUGUAAUUUUUGUCUUUAGUAACUUUCCAAACUCUGAAGUUAUCUCUUAAAGAGGUUCGUAGCUAUCUAUUUCAUAAACUGUGUUAUUAACACCAAAGGUUUAUUUUGCUAAUUCGAGAUCUGACUUCUUCUGUGAUUUCUUUAGUUGCGAUUUAUCUGCUGUUUUUUCUGGUGUUAGCACUUUAGGUUUUUCACGUUCUUCUAACUUCUUCUUGAUUUCUUAUUAUCUUUUCUUCUGUUGCCGUUCUUUGUCUUUUAUUGAAGCCAUCCUUACAGGGUUAACAAGAAUUUUGGCCAGAAAUAUAGUUAUAAUUAAGCAUUAUCGGGUGUGGUGGUUCAUGUCUGUAAUCCCAGCACUUUGGUGAAGCUAAGGCAAGUGGAUCACCUGAGGUCAGGAGUUCGAGACCAGCCUGGCCAACAUAGUGAAACCCUGUCUGCACUAAAAAAAUACAAAAAUUAGCCGGGUGCGAUGGCGGGCACCUGUAAUCCCAGCUGCUUGGGAGGAUGAGACAGGAGAAUCAUUUGAACCUGGGAGGUGGAGGUUGCAGUGAGCCGAGACUGUACCAUUGCACUCUAGCCUGGGCAACAAGAUUGAAACUCAGUCUCAAAAAAAAAAAAAAAUUAAGCAUUAAUCAGGCUGUGCUUUGACUCACUUCUUUGUAACCUUAAGUCACUUAUGUAGCACUAGACGCUUACCAUUUACAUCCCCAAUGUUCCUUUUCAGAGGUUAAGACUUUUGUUUAAAAACUGCUUUAGCAGAUUCUGAAUUCCAGCAAAACAAUGAUGCCAACCAAUUUAAAGACCCCCACGGAGGAACUGAAUCAGCACAAUAAUACACUCUCCUUACCUCCGUGUCUCAUCACUUCACCCUGCAUUCAGCCAAACAAUCUCCACACUUGGGCCCACUCCAAAAUCCUUAAAAACCCUAGCCCCAAACUCCUCAGGGAGAUUUGAGAUCCCAUUUGGCUGUCCUAUGAUUAAACCUCUUCCUCUGCUGCAACCUGGUGUGUCGGCAUACUGACUUGCCAUGCGCACUGGGCGAUGACUUUAUUAAGGUUAGAGUAUCUUCUCUGUCAUUUUUUUCUUUUCUGAAAAUUUUACUUCUUUUUUUUUUGAGACAGGGUCUUACUCUGUCGCCCAGGCCAGAGUGCAGUGGCACCAUCUCGGCUCACUGCAGCCUUGACCUCCUAGGCUCAAGUGAUCCUCCUGGGCUCAAGUGAUCAAUCCUUCCAUCUCAGCCUCCCGAGUAGCUGGGACCAUAGGUGUGCACCACCACACCCGGCUAAUAUUUGUAUUUUUGUAGAGACAGGAUUUUGCCAUGUUGUCUAGGAUGGUCUUGAACUCCUGGGCUCAAGCAAUCCUCCCGCCUUGGCCUCCCAACGUGCUAGGAUUACAGGCACGAGCUACCAUGCCUGGCCUGAAAUUUUUACUUCUGGUUUUGCUUCUGCUUCCUUCCUUCCCUGCCCGACACAUCAUCAUCAUCCCAGUUAUCCUUGAUGUCUCCAUCUUCUCCUUCCCAGUGGUCCCCUACCUUGUAGUGCCAGUGCCCUCCACACUCCACAGAGAAUGAGUCCAUGUCCCAAGAGUCCAAGUCCUCCCACCUAUCAUCACUGCUGCCAUCUGAAGCCAGGUAUGGCUGGGCCUGAAGGGAAGAGUUAGCGCAGCAGAGGUGAGAGGUAAGAUGCUGGAUUUGCUCUCGUUGGCUGGCAAGGGCCCUCAAUGGUUGUGACUGGCAUUUCCCUGAUGGCUAGUGAUGUUCGGCGGCUUUUCAUAUGCUUGUUUAUUAUUUUUUAAGUUGCAUUGUCUCUUUUGAUGAAUAAGGUUAUGCAUCCUUGUAUAUGUUUAAGAGCCCUCUGUAUGUUAUUUUCUAUGAAUUGUUUAUAUCUUUUAUUUGGUUUUCUUUUGGGAUGUUGUUUCUUUUUCUUGUUUUCUUUCUUCCUUUCUUGGCCUUUUUGAAGAACUAACUCAUAGAUUUAUUUAUUAGUGCUAAUUUUUAUGUUUUGUAAUUCAUUUGUUUAUCCUUUAUUAAUUUCUUCCUCUUGCUUUCCUUAGGAACGAUUUUCUUCCCUUCCCCCUAUAACUUUCUUGAGUUUUUUUGUUAAAUGAAUUUUAUUAUUUUGAUUAAAAUUAUUUUUAACAGCCGGGUGUGGCAGCUCAUGCCUGUAAUCCCAGCACCUUGGGAGGCUGAGGUGGGCGAAUCAUGAGGUCAGGAGAUCAAGACCAUCCUGGCUAACAUGGUGAAACCCCAUCUCUACUAAAAAUACAAAAAAAUUAGCAGGGUGUGGUGGCACAUGCCUGUAGUCCCAGCUACUUGGGAGGCUGAGGAAGGAGAAUCACUUAAACCCAGGAGGCAGAGGUUGCAGUGAGCUGAGAUCAUGCCACUGCACUCCAGCCUGGGCGACAGAGUGAGACUCCAUCUCAAAGAAAAAAACGUAUUUUUAACAUAGUUUUUCUUCUCUACGAACUGUUUUAGCUAUAGUCUAUGGGCUCUGAUAUAUACGGUUUUUACUAACAUUAUUGUCUACUUAGGGGAGAAAAAAGCUUUUCCUCAGUUUUAGUACCUGGCAACCUGUCAAGAGUCACAUUCACAGGAGAAAAAGCACACAACCAUUUUUUUUUUUUUUUUUUGAGAUGGAGUCUCGCUCAGUCACCCAGGCUGGAGUGCGGUGGCACGAUCUCGGCUCACUGCAAGCUCCACCUCCCGGGUUCACGCCAUUCUCCUGUCUCAGCCUCCCGAGUAGCUGGGACUACAGGCACCUGCCACUACGCCCGGCUAAUUUUUUUGUAUUUUUAGUAGAGACAGGGUUUCACUGUGUCAGCCAGGAUGGUCUCGAUCUCCUGACCUUGUGAUCCACCCGCCUCAGCCUCCCAAAGUGCUAGGAUUACAGGUGUGAGCAACUGCGCCCAGCCAAGGCAUACAACUUUAUCAUGUUAAUAAUUGUACAUGCACCAGGCUUCACAGAAAACAAGUGAAAAAUCCAAAGAGAUGAUUGGAUUUGAAGGCAUAUAUACCAUUUUAACAUAAAGUGAUAAACUAUGGAGAAAUGACUAGAAAAGAAAAAGAAGCCUUGGGCUUCUAAGGGGUUAAAUUGUAGGAAGGUGAUGAGAAAAAUUCUGGGGGAAACUAAUGGCAGAUAAGGGUUGUUUAUGCAGACUCAUUUAGUGCUAUCUCUAGAGAUAACAUUAAUUUUCCAUUCUCCUCUUCCUGGUAUGGGUGGGGGGACCUUUACAAAUGGGAAUUUUCUUUGCAGAAAGGAAAUGUAUGUCCUGCUUGUAGUCAGAUAGGAGGAAGGCAGAGGGCUCUUCCUGUGUCUGCUGCUUCAGCUCAAAAAUAAUCCUUAUACCAAAGUUAUAUAUUUUGAGGUACCAUAUCUGAUCUCCUUCACUGAGAUAUUUUAUACUUUCUUCUUUUUCUCUUCCUCCUUCUUUUUCCUUUUUGGACCUAGUGUUAAGUCAGGGAGAGUUAUAAAAGUCCAAGUGGUAGGCCAGGCACUGUGGCUUACACCUGUAAUCCUAGCACUUUGGGAGACUGAGGCGGGCGGAUCACGAGGACAGGAGAUUGAGACCAUCCUGGCUAACAUGGUGAAACCCUGUCUCUACUAAAAAUACAAAAAAUUAGCCAGGUGUGGUGGCAGGCGCGUGUAAUCCCAGCUACUCAGGAGGCUUGAGAUAGGAGAAUCGCUUGAACCUGGGAGGUGGAGGUUGCAGUGAGCCGAGGUCCCGCCAUUGCACUCCAGCCUGGGUGACAGAGCGAGACUCUGUCUCAAAAAGGAAAAAAAAAAAAGUCUAAGUGGUAAAGUUUGUUUGUUUUCUGGUUCUGUAAUAAUUUUUGUUUUAUUACAUCAUGAUUAGAGAAUGGUGUCUCAGGCCAGGCAUGAUGGCUCAUGCCUGUAAUCCCAGUACUUUGGGAGGCCAAGGCAGGGGGAUCACUCAAGCUCAGGAGUUUGAGACCAGCCUAGGCAACACAGUUAGACCUCACCUUUACUAAAAAUAAAAAAAUUAUCGAGGUGCGUAUGCCGGCACACACCUGUAGUCUCGGCUACUGAAGAGGCUGAGGUGGGAGGAUCACUUCAGCCUGGGACUUUGAGGUUGUAGUGAGCUAUCAUCACCAAUGCACUCCAGCCUGGGUGAAAGAGUAAGACCCUAGAGAAAAAGAGAGAGACAGAGAGUAGGGAGAGGGAGAGAGAGGUGUCUUUAUUCCUUUUGCAAUGUAACUACUUUUGGGAUUUAUUGAAGUUUUUGUGACAUAAUUACUGUGCAGUCAAUUAAUUUUGAAAACGUUCCAUAGAUACCUCACAAUAAAAUAAGUUUUUAGUCUUUAGAUUAUAAAUUUGAUAUAUAAAAAGGAGCUCUAUUGAAAAAAUAUGUUAUUUGGGUCUACCUUAUGACCAUGGCCUAAAAGAGAGGUAAAUUAAACUCCCUAACUGGUAUGUUUCUAUAAAAAGCAGUACAAAAUUGCUUUGUAUAGUCUUAAUAUUAAUUAGAUAAUUAUUAAUUAGUGGUAAUGUAACCACAAAACAGAUUCACCUUGCCUGCUGCCAAGUAUUAUUUGUUACUUAGAUACUAAUAAGAAUUAAUAAAAAUAUCAAUUGUGUGAAUUUCCCAACCUUAUUAUUAAAGAACUAUUGUCUCAUUUAAUGAUUUUUCUUUUUUAACAGAAUUCACCCAAGUCUAGUAUUAAGAUCAGAAUCUCUGCUAAACUUUUUCUUUUUUUUGAGAUGGAGUCUCACUCUGUCACGCAGGCUGGAGUGCAGUGGCGUGAUCUUGGCUCACUGCAACCCCUGCCUCCCAGGUUCAAGCGAUUCUCCUUCCUCAGCCUCCCAAGUAGCUGGGACUACAGGUGCGUGCCACCAUGCCAGGCUAAGUUUUUUUUGUAUUUUUAGUAGAGAUGGGGUUUCACUGUGUUAGCCAGAAUGAUCUCAAUCUCCUGACCUCGUGAUCAGCCUACCUCGACCUCCCAAAGUGCUGGGAUUACAGGCGUGAGCCACUGUGCUCCGCCUAAUCGCCGCUAACCUUUUACGCUUGCUUGGUAAGAACACAUUUUUCUCAGCCUUUUGUAUUCAAACUUUCUUUUUUUCUUUUUCUUUCUUUUUUUUUUUUUUUUUGGAGACAGGGUCUCACUCUGUCACCCAGGCUGGAGUACAGCGGUGCCAGUUUGGCUCACUGCAACCUCCACCUCCCAGGUUCAAGCUAUUCUCCUGCUUCAGCCUCUUGAGUAGCUGGGAUUACAAGUGUGCGCCACUACACCUGGCUAAUUUUUGUAUUUUUAGUAGAGACGGGUUUUGCCUUGUUGGCUAGGGUGGUCUUGAACUCCUGGCCUCAGAUGAUCCACCUGCCUCGGCCUCCCAAAGUGCUGGGAUUACAGGGGUGAGCCACUGCACCUGGCCACAACCUUUCUUAAUCAUUUUGUUUUAUCAUUAGGUUUUACUUUGUGAUUAAAUAUGAGAAUGUCUUUCAGCAGGUGAUUGUCAUAUCAACAAGCAAGUCAUCUUACUUGUUGAUAUGACAAUUAUGUGUUGGUCUAUUAUCUUUGCUUUAUUAUUGUUUGUGUUUUUAGUGAUAAUUUGAAAGGUGUGUAUUAUUUUUGUUCUAGUAGCUACCUUUAUCACUUUUUUAAGAAAUAAUUUUUAGAAAACGAUAAAGACAUAACCCUCAUGUAGAUACAAGAAUGAACAUGUGUUGAAGAUUUUAUUUUUCUCCUUAAUUAGCAAGGGAACCAGUCAGGAAUGAUAACUCUUUCAAAGGAAAAAGUCAAAGGAACACAAAUUUAAAUGGACAAAGAGAUUGAAUUACAAAUGGAGGCAAACUGGUUUUUCCACAAGGGAAAGAACUCAAAGGAAACUCUCCUAGGUAAUACAGUUUGCAUAUCUAUCAGUCACCUACGAUUUACAAAGAGAUGCAAAAUAGCUCAAAGACAAUGAACAGGACCAAAAAAUGCAGUUUUUCAUUGAAGUACAAAAUUGCUUCUUAUAGUCUUAAUAUUAAUUAGAUAAUUACUAAUUAGUGAUAAUGUAACCGCCCAACAGGUUCACCUUGCCCGCUGCCUAGAUGGAGCUGAUGUAUCAAGACAGGGGCACUGCAAAAGAGAAAGAGUUUAAUUCAUGCAGAGCCAGCUGUACGGGAGACUGGAAUUUUAUUAUUAUUCAAAUCAGUCUCCCUGAAAUUCGAGGAUGGCGGAUUUUAGGAUAAUGUGAUAGGCAGGGGCCAGUGAAUCAGGAGUACUGAUUGGUUGGGUCGGAGAUGAAAUCAUAAGGAGUCAAAGCUGUCCUCUUGUGCUGAGUCAGUUCCUGGGUGGGGGCCACAAGACCAGAUGAGCCAGUUUUUUGAUCUGGGUGAUGCCAGCUGAUCCAUCAAGUGCAAAAUAUCUCAAGCGCUGAUCUUAGGUUUUACAAUAGUGAUAUCAUCCCCAGGAGGGCCAAAAUCUUUCAGCCUCCAUCUGCGUGACUCCUAAACCAUAAUUUCUAAUCUUGUGGUUAAUUUGUUAGUCCUGCAAAGGCAGUCUAGUCCCCAGGUCAGAAGGGGAAGGGCAUUGUCCUUGUUUGGGAAGGGACAUCAUCCUUGUUUCAAAGUUAAACUAUAAACUAAGUUACUCCCAAAGUUAGUUUGGCUUAUGCCAAGGAAUGAACAAGGACAGUUUGGAGGUUAGAACCAAGAUGGAGUUGGUUAAGUCAGAUCUCUUUUACUGUAAUAAUUUUCUCAGUUAUAAUUUUGCAACUACAGUUUCAGUAAUACUCUUAAUCUUCUGUUUCUUUAGACAUAUCUAUCAAUUUUGUUUAUAGGAUGAGCAGCUAAUUCCAGUUUCCCUGGGAAUUUCCUGGCUUCCACACUGAAAGUCUCUCAUCGUGGGAAACCCCUCAAUCGAUGGAAAACCAGGACCGUUGGUCACUGAAAUUUUCUACUAUAAGAAAUGAUAGAAUUAUUGUAGUUCUACUUUGUUCCAUUUUUUUUUUUUUUUUUUGAGAUGGAGUCUUGCUCUGUUGCCCAGGCUGGAGUGUAAUGGUAUGAUCUCGGCUCACUGCAACCUCUGCCUCCCGGUUUCAAGCGAUUCUCCUGCCUCAGCCUGCUGAGUAGCUUGGAUUACAGGUGCCCACCACCACGCCCAGCAAAUUUUUGUAUUUUUAGUAGAGACGGGGUUUCAUCAUGUUGGUCAGGCUGGUCUUGAACUCUUGACCUCAAGUGAUCCACCCGCCUUGACCUCCCAAAGUGCUGGGAUUACAGGCGUGAGCCAUCAUGCCUGGCUCCACUUUUUUCCUGAGGAAGUUUUUAUUAUUUAUUUAUUUUAAAGAUAGGGUGUUGCUCUGUCACCCAGGAUGGAGUGGAGUGGUGCAAUCACGACUCACUGCAGCCUUGACCUCCCGGGCUCAAGUGAUCCUCCUGCCUCAGCCUCCCAAGUAGCUGGGACUACAGGUGCAUACCACUAAGCUCAGAUAAAUUUUUUAUUUUUUGUAGAGAUGAGAUCUCCCUAAGUUACCCAGGCUGGUCUUGAACUCCAGGGCUCAAGUGGUCCUCCCACCUCAGCCUCCCAAUGUGCUGGGGUUAUAGGAGUGAGUCACUGUGUCUGGCCAUGCCCAGCUAAUUAAAAAAAAUUCUUUUACAGAAGGUGUCUCACUGUGUUGCCUAGGCUGAUCCAGAACUCCUGGCCUUAAGUGAUCGUCUCUCAGCAUCAGAAGCUUUUUUUUAGAUAAUAGUGGUACAAAACCUUGACUAUACCUGAAUAAGUUUUUUAAAAUUCGGAUGCUUGGGGCCCAACCCCAGAAAUUCUAAUUUAAUUGGUCUAGGAUAUGGCUUGGCCAUCUAGGAUUUUAAAAGUCUACUCAGGUAGCUCUAAUGUUCAGGCAAGGUUGUGAAUUGCCAAUAUGUAAAGAUAUGGAGCCAUCUGCAAGAUGUAUUGAAUGCAGAGUAGUGUAUACAGACGGCCUCUGACAUACAGUGGCUUGACUUAUUAUGAUUUCUGACUUUAUAAUGGUAUCCAUACAACCAUUCUGUUUUUCACUUUCAGUACUGCAUUCAAUAAAUUACAUAAGAUAUUCAACCCUUUAUUAUAAAAUAAGCAUUGUGUUAGAUGAUUUUACCCAACUGUGCACUAAGUGUUUUGAGCGCAUUUAAGGUAGGCUGGGCUAAGCUAUGGUGUUUGGUAGGCUCAGUGUAUUAAAUGAAUUUUUGAUUUACGACAUUUUAAACUUACAAUGAGUUUAUCAGGACGUAGCUUAAUUGUAAGUCGAGAAGUAUCUGUAUAGCAUGUCACCACUAUGUAGAAAAUGGAAAAGAAAAAGAAAAUAUUUAUAUAUUUCCGUAUAUGUACAUAAACCAUCUCUGCAAGGACGUAGAGGGAACUGGUAACGUUGGUUGCUGCCAGGUAUGUGAACUUAGGGAGUAGGAGGGAGAUUUUUCACUGUGUACUUUUUGGACCUUGUGAAUCUAUUAUUAAUGUUUUAAAGUUAUUUUAGGCUGGGCGGGGUGGGGUGGCUCACGCCUGUAAUCCCAGCACUUUGGGAGGCCGAGGCAGGCGGAUCACUUGAGGUCAGGAGUUUGAGACCAGCCUGGCCAACAUGGCGAAACCCCGUAAAAAUACAAAAAUUAGCUGGGUGCUGUGGCGAGCGCCUGUAGUCCCAGCUACUAGGGAGGCUGAGGCAGGAGAAUCACUUGAACCUGGGAGGCUGAGGCUGCAGUGAGCUGAGAUCACACUAUUGCACUCCAGCCUGGGCUACAGAGUGAGACCCUGUCUCCAAAAAAAAAAAAAAAAAGUUAUUUUAAAAUUCUACCUCUUUAAUCUAAAAAAAAAAUUUUAGUUUUCUGAAAAAGUAGGUAUAUAACUAGACAAUAUGAGCUC